GAAAUUUGUAAUGUGGGCUGUACUUGGGCUCUAGAUGCUAUUCCUAGAUGGACCUAAGGUGUUUGCAGCUUGUGAGUUAUCCUGGUGGUGUUUGACACAUGUUCUAACUUUCUUUCAGGUGCAGAUGCAUUGCAUCCAUGGCAGAGGGUCAGAGUUAGCAGGUGCCGGGCAUUCCUAGGAGCACGCUGUCUGAGAGACACCAGCCUGGUGACAGCAGGACCUUCCCAGCUGACGAGGUGGCCUUUCUUUGUACCUGACACGGACUGGCAUCCCCAGAUGUCUGAGAGAUAAGUAGAGGGCUAUGACCCACAGAGGGGAUGAAAGCAGGGUGCUGGUUUGGGAAUUACUGGGAGGGGUUUUUGAGUCCAAUUUGGAGGUGGGGGGUAUCCAUGAAGUGGCCCCUUAGGCCCCAUAAAAGCCAAGUCUCACUUUUGAUCACAGUGCUGAGGUGUUCAGGGCAGAGCAGUCCCGGUGUGUCUGGUGUCACUUGUCUAUUGUGCAUUAUGUGUUGUUUGUGUAUCUCCUGUCUUUUACCUUAGCACAUUGAGGGGCCUGUCAGAAACCUCGGCAUCCUUUUUAGCAUCGGUGAUCUCUUCAUUCCUUGGCCUGGCACCCAGGCCAGAGAUGCGAUUCUGAUACCUGUCUGAGCUCCCCAGUCAAAAGUUCUCUCUUUGGAAGCAUCCAGUCAGAUGUCUUUUCAGGUCUUGUUCUGAGCUGUACGGACAGCUGUGCCCCAUCUGGAUCCAUUAUGGUGGAUUAGGGCUUGAAAGAAUGUGAUGGUAGGUAGAGGAUUCUGACUGUAGUAAUUUCAGGCAUCCAUCUUUGCAGUUCUUGGAAUCAAUCAUUCAGUUAGCAUCUUCUUCCUCCAGUGUUCUCUGAGCCUCAUCAGCUCACCGUCAGUUUGAACUCAGUCAUCUCCUUUUGCAUUCUCUCAGUCCUUGCAGCCAUUUUCCUUGCCAAGAGAUUUCUGUUCCUGUUGUGUCCCCGUUGUGUGUCCUGUCCUGUCUGUCCUGUGUCACGGGUGUCAGCACACAUUUGUGCCGGGGCUGCUCUGCCCUGCCGCAUAGCCUGGUGCAAUAGGAGAGGGCCCGGGUACUUGGAAUGUGUAAUGUGGGGUGUAGUUGGACUCUAGAUGGGAUUUGUAGAUGGACACAGGAUAUCUGGAGCUCUUAAGCUAUCCUGCUGCCCUUUGACUUUUGUCCUUUCUUUCAGAUGCGCCUCCUCAGGUGACUGCAGUGGUUCUAUCUGUUCCAUCUUCUCAAAGUGUGUAAGGGUCAAUAAUACAUCUUCCAGAAGUUAUCUCCAGUCCUGGCUUGUGUUGUCCCCGAGGCUGCUGAUUUCCCCAGGAUCUGCCAUUUACUUCAAGGAGCAGCAGCCAGAAGAUGUGUCACAGCACGUUCUUCAGCGUCUCAGGUUUUGCAACUAAUUUUUAAAGUUAGAAUAAAAAAUCCUCAGCCGGGUUAUAUUGUAUGUACUGACAUGGAAUAUACCCAUGUUGGCUUAAAACCCAGUAAAACAGACGAUGAUGGGCAAGAAAAAACCCAGAAAAAAACCCCAACAAGAUGGGCAAGAAAAAAACCCAGAAAAGAACCCGAAGACGGGCAAGAAAAAACCCAGAAAAAAAACCCGAAGAUGGGCAUGAAGAAACCCAGAAAAAACCCCCAAGAUGGGCAAGAAAAAACCCAGAGAAAACCCAGAAAAACAAUUCCAAGAAGGGCAAGAAAAGACCCGGAAAACACCCAGAAAAAAUCGCAACCAAAGUAUAAAUAUAUAAAUGUCUUUCAAAUA